GGGGAAUCAGUUUGGGUGAUUUGGGCUGAGUCACUUCACUUGACUGAGGAUCAGUGUCCUUGUCUGGGAUCAUCUAAGCUUCCUAGCGGGGCUGUUGUGAGACCCAGAGAUGAAGGAAGGCCCGCUUCUGUCCACACCUGGCCUCUGAUGCCCUCAUUCCCCGCAGGAGGCUGUCUCUCCUUCUAUUCCCGAUGCCCAGCCCCAUGGCUGGCCCCCAGCGGGGUCACAGCCCCCAGAUUAGCCACUCCAUUGUAAUAACAAUCUCCCUUUCCUUCUUGUCUUUUUUCCCAGGCCUGCCAACCACAGGGGCCAGCUGGAGAUCAGCAGCCUGGUGCCCCUGGGGCCCAAGUAUGUGGUGAAGUGGAACACGGCGCUGCCCCAGGUGCAGGUGGUGGAGGUGGGCCAGGACGGUGGCACCUAUGACAAGGACAAUGUGCUCAUCCAGCACUCAGGCGCCAAGAAGGCCUCUGCCUCAGGGCAGGCUCAGAAUAAGGUGUACCUCGGCCCCCCACGCCUCUUCCAGGAGCUGCAGGACCUGCAGAAGGACCUGGCCGUGGUGGAGCAGAUCACGCUUCUCAUCAGCACGCUGCACGGCACCUACCAG
rnacentral:lncRNA from 10 species